rnacentral:rRNA from 1 species
UACGUAGGGGGCAAGCGUUGUCCGGAUUUAUUGGGCGUAAAGCGCGCGCAGGCGGUUCUUUAAGUCUGGUGUCUAAGUGCGGGGCUCAACCCCGUGAUGCACUGGAAACUGGGGAACUUGAGUGCAGAAGAGGAGAGCGGAAUUCCACGUGUAGCGGUGAAAUGCGUAGAGAUCCGGAGGAAGACCGGUGGCGAAGGCGGCCUGCUGGGCAGUUACUGACACUGAGGCGCGACAGCGUGGGGAGCAAACAGG